CAGUUGAGAGGGCUGUACGUACGGUCCGCUGAGCGCAAGCUCACUCGGCUG
rnacentral:ncRNA from 1 species